GGCGGUCGAGGACCCUGACUUGUCUCGCGGUUACUGGGCCGGCGCGAGCACGCGAGGCUCGGGGGCGGCACGGGGCGGGGUUUAGCCCGUGGUGGGCGCUGCGGGUGUUUCCAAGUCGUUGCUCCGCUCGCUGGGCUAAGGUCGUGUCGGGUGAGGAGGUCGCGCCGGAAGUGACUCUGGCCGUGGCGCUUCGGCGUAGUAAGCAGCCUGCGACAGAGUUUUGUUGUUUAGGGGGCGCGGCACCGCACCGCUCCCUUCACCUUGCAGCAGCCAUGGCGAAAGGCAGAGUCGCCGAACGAUCGCAGAUGGGCGCUGACCACACGACCCCCGUGGGGGACGGGGCAGCGGGGACGCGGGGUCCCGCGGCGCCUGGCAGCAGAGACUACCAGAAGGAAAAAUCCUGGGCAGAAGCUGGAUCAGCAAGAAUGUCACUCCUUAUAUUGGUGUCCAUUUUCUUAUCUGCAGCUUUUGUUAUGUUUUUGGUAUAUAAAAAUUUUCCUCAGCUUAGUGAAGAAGAAAGAGUGAAUAUGAAGGUUCCCAGAGAUAUGGAUGAUGCCAAGGCUCUAGGAAAAGUUUUAUCCAAAUACAAGGACACCUUUUAUGUUCAAGUACUUGUAGCUUAUUUUGCUACAUAUAUUUUGUAUCCUUUUAACUGAAAAAAUGUUUUCUAAUUUUGUUCAAGAAAAAGUGUAAAAGAUCUGCUCUUCAUUUAUACAUAACUAUUUUCCUUUUAAAAUUUGUUAUUGCAGUGUAACAAUAUUAAUUGAAAAAUUAAAAUGGAAAAAAUUAUCACUUUAAUCCUAUUUCCUGAACUAAUUGUUCUGAAUUAAUAUGUCUGAAUUGUUCUGAAUUAAUAUGUCUGAAUAUUUAUUACAAGUUCUUUUGUAUUCUGCUUUUUUCACUUAUCAAACAUUUUCCUUUACUGCAUAUUAUUAAGAUGUUUAUUUUAUGGGUUUGAUUUAUCAUUGUGUUCAUUAACUGAUGAUACUAGUUUAUAUAAUUAUUUUGAAUUACUAGUCACCAUAGUAUUUUUAUAAUUGUUCUCUUAGGUUUGGAGGUUGCAGUGAGCCGAGAUCGUGCCACUGCACUCCGGCCUUGGUGACAGAGCAAGAUUCCAUCCCCAAAAAAUAAAAAUAACAAAAAUAAAAAGAAUCAGAAGUAUCCAUAUGUUGUUGAGGUAUUAACUCACAAUAUACAGAUAAGUGAAAGAACAAAGGGCAAAAUAGUAAACAGAUAUGCUGUGUUUUAUCUAAGAAGGGGAUAAUAUGAGUACACUCAUAUACAUAAGUAUCUUAUAUUUUUCUAAAAAAACUAACUGGCCGAGUGUAGUGGCUCAUUCCUGUAAUCCCAGCACUUUGGGAGGCUUAAGUAGGAGGAUUGCUUGAGGCCAGCGGUUUGAGACUGGCUUGGGCAAUGUAGCUAGACCCUGUUUCUACGAGAAAUACAAAAAUUAGCCGGGUGUCUUGGUACAUGCCUGUAGUCCUAGCUACUUGGGAGGCUGAGGUGGGAAGAUCACCUGAGCCCAGGGAGGUUGAGGCUACAGCGAAGCAUUUAGCCUCUGCACUCCAGCCUAGGUAACAGAGUGAGACUGUAUCUCAAAUAAAUAAACCAGUAAAAAUGUUUACCUGUAAGGAGAGAGAGAAAAUGGUAGGACUGAAACUUUUCUUAGCAUAGGUUUGACUUUAGAACCAAGUAAAUGUUUUACAUAAUUACAAAAUCAAAAUGAAAAAAGAGAAUAGCAGGAAGCUUAAGAAUCAAAAGCAACCUCACACUCAUUAGGAUGGCUACUAUGAAACAAAAUAACAAGUGUUGGCAAGGAUGUGGAGAAAUUGGAACCCUUGAGCACUGUUGGUGGGAAUGCAAAAUGAUGCAGCUACUAUGGAAAAUAGUAUGGCAGUUCCUCAAAAAUUAAGAAUAGUAUUAUCAGGGCCGGGUGUGGUGGCUCACACCUGUAAUCCCAGCACUUUGGGAGACCGAGGUAGGCUAAUCACCUGAGGAUGGGAGUUCAAGACCAGCAUGACCAACAUGAAGAAAUCCCGUCUCUUCAUGUAUUUUUUUGUAGCGAUGGGAUUUCAUCAUGUUGCCCAGGCUGGUCUCGAACUGGAACUCCUGGGCUCAAGUGAUCCUCCCACCUCAGCCUCCCAAGGUGCUGAGAUUACAGGCGUGAGUCACCAGGCCUAGCCAAAAAUCUUAAAACUGUUUUUAAUAAUCAUAUUGUUAGUAAUAAUGUUGUAAAAUAUUUAAAUAUGUGGAAACGUUUUAGAUUAUUAAUACUAAUGCAUAGUAUAUAUUUUAUACAUUUACUUUAAAAUAUGUUUCAUAGUAUAUAAAGCACAAAUAGGCAACUAUGUUGGUGUUACCGAGAACCAAGAUUUUUCAGUGUAAGAGAAGAGAAAUCUAAACAAAGUUAAGCUCAAGUCACAUUCCCAUGCAAAAGUAAGCAUAGUUUUGACUACUAGUAUAAGAUAAAGGAUAGAACAUAAACUACCCUAAGUAUCCAAUAGGCAAAAAUCAGUAAAUGGUAAAUUCUACAAAUGAUCUGGUUUCUUCAGUAAAUUGAAAGAAAGAAAAAAUAAAUAAAGACCUUAUGCUUAAGUGAUCCUUUGAGCAAAUACUUUGUGUGGAUUUUUAGAUUCUGAUCAGACUAGUCUUUAGGACAAUAAGGAAUUAUAGUUAAUUUCUUGAAGUCUGACAAUGGUAUUAUAUUUAUGUUAAAAAGAAAAGGAGGCCAGGCACGGUGGCUCACACCUAUAAUCCCAGUACUUUGGGAGGCGGAGGCAGGUGGAUCACGAGGUCGGGAGUUCAAGACCAACCUGACCAAGAUGGUGAAACCCUGUCUCUACUAAAAAUACAAAAAUUAGCCAGUUGUGGUGGCAGGUGCCUGUGAUCCCAACUACUCGGGAGGCUGAGGCAGAGAAUUGCUUGAACCCGGGAUGCGGAGAUUGCAGUGAGCUGAGAUCACGCCACUGCCCUCCAGCCUGGGCGACAGAGCGAGACUCCUACCUCAAAAACGAAAGGAAAAAAAAAGGAAUUGGCUGGGCAUGGUGGCCACACCUGUAAUCCCAGCACUUUGGGAGGCCAAGCAGGGUGGAUCACGAGGUCGGGAGAUAGAGACUAUCCUGGCCAACAUGGUGAAACCUGUCUGUACUAAAAAUAAAAUUAGCUGGGCGCGAUGGUGCACGCUUAUAAUCCGAGCUACUAGGGAGGCUGAGGCAGGAGAAUCGCUUGAACCUGGGAGGCAGGGGUUGCAGUGAGCCGAGAUCAUGCCACUGCACUCCAGCCUGGCGACAGAACGAGACUCAGUCUCAAACAAAAAAAGAAUUUAUUUUUAUUAUUAUUAUUAUUUUUUGAGACGGCGUCUCACUGUGUUUCCCAGGCUGGAGUGCAGCGACGCGAUCUCGGCCCACUGCAACCUCCGCUGCCCAAGUUCAAGCAAUUCUCCUGCUUCAGCUUCUGGAGUAGCUGAGAUUACAGGCACCUGCCACUGCGCACAGCUAAUUUUUUGUAUUCUUUGAACUCCUGACCUCGUGAUCCACCUGCCUCAGCCUCCCAAAGUGCUGGGAUUACAGGUGUAAGCCACUGCGCCUGGCAGAAAAGGAAUUAUUUUAAUGAUAUUAAAAUAUUCGGACAUUGAAAAAUGUGGUGUUUUAAUUUUUAUUUAUUUUAUUGAUUUAUUUAUUUUUUGAGACAGAGUCUCGCUCUUGUUGCCCAGGUUGGAGUGCAGUGGCGCGAUCUGGGCUCGCUACAACCUCUGCUUCCUGUGCUCAAGUGAUUCUCCUGUCUCAGCCUCCCGAGCAGCUGGGACUAUAGGCACAUGCCACCAUGCCUGGCUAAUUUUUUUUUUUUUUUUUGAGACGGAGUCUUGCUCUGUCACCCAGACUGGAGUACAGUGGCGUGAUCUUGGCUCACUGCAAGCGCCGCCUCCUGGGUUCAUGCCAUUCUCCUGCCUCAGCCUCCCGAGUAGCUGGGACUACAGAUGCCCGCCACCAUGCCCAGCUAAUUUUUUUUAUUUUUUUGGUGGAGAUGGGGUUUCACCGUGUUAGCCAGGAUGGUCUCGAUCUCCUGACCUCGUGAUCCGCCCGCCUCAGCCUCCCGAAGUGCUGGGAUUACAGGCGUGAGCCACCGUGCCCGGCCUAAUUUUUGUAUUUUUAGGAGAGACGGCGUUUUACCAUAUUGGUCGUCUGGUCUGAAACUCCUGACCUCAGGUGACCCACCCGCCUCGGCCUCCCAAAGUGCUGGGAUUACAGGCAUAAGCCACUGCACCUGGUCUUUGUUUAUUUAUUUAUGAGAUGGAGUCUCACUCUGUUACCCAGGCUGGAGUGCAAUGGCACAAUCUCGGCUUACCACAACCUCUGCCUCCUGGGUUCAAGCGAUUCUCCUGCCUCAACCUCCCAAGUAGCUGGGACUACAGGCAUGCACCACCACGCCCAGCUAAUUUUUGUAUUUUUAGUAGAGACGUGGUUUCACUAUGCUGGGCAGGCUGGUCUCGAACUCCUGACCUCAUGAUCCACCUGCCUUGGCCUCCCAAAGUGUUGGGAUUACAGGUAUGAGCCACCGCACCCAGCCUUAUUUUUAUUUUUAUUUUUUUUUUGAAACAGAGUCUCACUCUGUUUCCCAGGCCAGAGGUCAGUGGCAUGAUCUCGGCUCACUACAACUUCUGCUCUCUGGGUUUAAGUGAUUCUUGUAUCCCAGUCUCCUGAGUACCUGGCAUUACAGGCAUGAGCCAGUGUGCCUGGCCAAUUUUUGUAUUUUUAUUAAAGACAGGGUUUCAUCAUGUUGGCCAGGCUGUUCUUCAACUCCUAGUCUCAAAUGAUCCACCCUCAGCUGCCUAAAGUAUUGGGAUUACAGGUGGGAGCCACCGUGCCCAGCCUGAACUAUGUUAAUAUAGGGCAUCAUAACACUAGUUUCUCUACUUCGUUUUUUUUUCCCCCAAUUUCAGCUGUAAUUUUAGGUUUCCUUUUCAGAGAAGUAGGAAUUGCACCAAAUUUUGGGGAAAGAAAAAAUACAGUUGCAUUAAACAGUAACAACAAAAACAACAAAAUACUUCCCUGGAACUUGUCCUCAUUUAUUUCUGCUUCUCUCAAUUUCCUCAAGGGAAAAUUUCCAUUUAUCUCCUCUCCUUUCAUCCUUUGGAGUCUUGCUUUCUUUUUUUUUUUCUUUUUUUUUUUAAUUAUUAUACUUUAAGUUCUGGGGUACAUGUGCACAGCGUGCAGGUUUGUUACAUAGGUAUACGUGUGCCACGUUGGUUUGCUGCACCCAUCAACUUGUCAUUUACAUUGAGUAUUUCUACAUUUAUAUAUGUGUGAAACUAUCCAUAAUAUGAUGUUUUGUUUUGUUUUGUUUUUGAGAUGGAGUCUCGCUCUGUUGCCAGGCUGGCAUGCAGCGGCGAGAUCUCGGCUCACUGCAAUCUCCUGCCUUCCGGGUUCAAGCGAUUCCCCUGCCUCAGCUUCCCGAGUAGCUGGGACUACAGGCGCCCACCACCACGCCCGGCUAAUUUUUUGUAUUUUAGUAGAGACAGGGUUUCACCAUGUUGGCCAGGAUGGUCUCAAUCUCCUGACUUUGUGAUCCACCUGCCUCGGACUCCCUAAGUGCUGGAAUUACAGGCAUGCGCCACCCCACCUGGCCCAUAUAGUACAGUCUUAACCCAAAAAGUGUGUGUGUGUGUGUGUGUGUGUGUGUGUGUGUGUGUUUUGUUUUUGAUGGAGACAUGUAGGAGACAGGUGGAAAAUUUGAGGCUGAUGAACCAAAGAGAAUUUCGAGUUUUUAGGACUAUAUGUGGUUGAUACUUGAAGCCAUGGAAAUUGCCAAAUUUAUCAAAGAAAAGGGAUUAUGUGGCUAACAGAAUGUUAGAGAAAUUUCAGAUUUGAGGGCAAAGAGAAAAAUGUAGAGAAGAAAUUACCUGUAAUGUAGAAGAAAAAGUACAGUUCACUGAAGCCAUGUUCCAUGCAGGAUGAAUUCUAAUGCUAUGCGAGGAUCACUGAAAGGUGACUAUUGAGAAAAAGUUAUUAUUGAGUAUGAGGAAGUUUCAAUAGCAUAGUGGAAUAGUAAAGCAGGUCACAGGGAACAAGGAGAGAAUCUCCUCUGAGGAAGUGAAGAUGAGCAGUAGCUGGAUAGGAUACCCUGGUUGAGGUUGUUUUUUAAGUUAUAGGCAACUGAGUAGUUUUCUAGAGGAGGCAUCCUAUGAAAGAGAACAGAGUUGAAGGUGAAAAAGCCCAGGAGGAAGGAGGAGUAGAUUGAAAUGAGAACAUGAGUAAAAUGGGAACUAGAGAAAAAGGAAUAGUUAAUGAGUGAAGAUAGAUGGAGAGAUGUUGAGGGAAUUCACUUUGACUUGUGAGUAAAUCGUAUUAGAGGGGAAAAAGGUUCAGAUCCAAACUGGGAACGACAGGAAAGUAAAAAAAAAUUCUAUUUUGAAAACAAGAUUUGUGGCUCGGGUGUAGUCGCUCAUAUCUGUAACCUCAACACUUCGGGAGUCCAAUGUGGGAGGAUCGUUUGAGCCCACGAGUUCAAGACUAGCCUGGGCAACUCAGCCAGACCUCAUCUCUACAAAUAAUAAAAAUUGGUGUGGUGACACGUCUGUGAUCCCAGCUACUUGCGAGGCUGAAGUGGCACAAUUGGUUGAGCUUGGGCAUUUGAGGCUGCAGUGAACCAUGAGUGUGCCACUGCGUUCCAGCCUGGGUGACAAAGCAAGACCCCUUCUCAAAUAAGAUUUGUGACUUUUACUAUAUUUUGUAAUUUCUAUUCUUAUUUUUGUUAUUUUCUUUUAUUCUCUUCUAGUUCCUGUUCCUUUAAAAUGAGUAGUGAAUUUAGGUAAACCCUCAUAGUAAAAUUAGAAAUAAUUGUAUGUACAUGAUUUCCCUGAAACCAUUUGGGAGUAAAAUAAAAUGUAUUAGAGAAGCACUAAAAGAUUACGGAAGACCUUUUCUUUUUUCUUUUGUUUCUCCCCCAAAGUGCCUGGUUUCUCUCUAUCUAGAACGUAUGGAUUUUUGUCUUGGAAACCUUUUAGUAGCACACACUUACUAGUAUUUAUGAUACUGUUUAGUAAAUGGUCAACUUAGAAGCUAAACCUUUGGAUAUAAUCUCAUUAUAUGAUAAUUUUUGUAUUUAUACUUUUUUCCUGAAAUGUUACAUUUGUCUUUUAAAAUUCUACUUAA